CCAAGUCAGGAAUAUGACAGUUGGUGUUCAUUGGUUUGGUAUGGUCACUAUUUUCUAUUGUACAUAAAUUACUAACUUCAUUAAUGUUCAAUUAUUGACUCUUUUUAUUAUUAAUUUUAGGAGGAUUUCCAAACUUGUGGAAUAAUCGCACAACAUCAGAAGAAAAAGUUUGGCGACUUUUAUAAACAGGUAAAUUCGAUUGACUGUUAGAAAAAAGCAAUAUAUCAAGAUCAAGAUUAUCAACUGUACAUGCAUUCUAUCUAAUAUAACGGCACUAUUAAAUGUGGUUUAAUUUUGCUGAAAACCAAAUAAAAAAGGUAUGCACGCAAAACGGUCUUAUCCAAAAGCAAUUACAAAUGAAUUGAUUUUUUUUUCUUCUACUGCAAGGAGAGUCUUUAAAAAGUCGAAACAAGUGACAAAGUAUAAUAAAAAAGAAUAAGUAAAGACUUUUAUCAAAAGACGCUUUCAACAAACAUCAUAAAAUUGAGAAUGGAAAUGGGGAAUGUGUCAAAGAGACAACAACCCGACUAAACAAAAAACAACAGCAGAGGGUCACCAACAGGUCUUCAAUGUAGCGAGAAAUUUCCGCACCCGGAGGCGUCCUUCAGCUGGCCCCUAAACAAAUAUAUACUAGUCCAGUGAUAAUGAACGCCAUACUAAUUUCCAAAUUGUACACAAGAAACUAAAAUUAAAAUAAUACAAGACUAACAAAGGCCAGAGGCUCCUGACUUGGGACAGGCGCAAAAAUGCGGCGGGGUUAAACAUGUUUGUGAGAUCUCAACCCUCCCCCUAUACCUCUAACCAAUGUAGAAAAGUAAAAUGGUAAGUUCAUAGUUCAGACAAUUAGUCGUAAACGCAUUCAAUCAAAUAUAUCUGAGUUCAAGAUUACUGAUUAUUUUUGUAAAAAAAUCUAAAUGAACUUAAACAAACUAAGUGUACACUUAUAAAGUGUUCUUUAUUCUUUUGUGUGCAUUGACGUCAAACAUUUGCUAUUUUGAAAUAAAAAAUACAUUUUGCAAAUUACUCUGCAAUUUUUUAAGUUCAUUGUUUGGAAAUAUGUAACAAUCAUCUUUUGACAUCAACUCAUAAAAAUCUUUUCUUGAAUGCGAUUUGAAAUUUGUAAUAUUCGUGAGAUUACACAUUUUGAUUUCAUGAGGAUAUUUAAAAAAAAAAUAAGUUUGUGUUAAAAUGAGUUAAUUUUUCAACAGUUUAUAUAAAUAAAACAUUUGUAUAUGCUUGUUUAAGAAAAAAAUAUAUUUUAAUUUCAUUGUAAAAAGUAUAUAUUAAAAUUGCUGACCUUAAGCAUUUUUUGAUUUGACUUUACAUAUUGAAAAUGAAAAAUGCUCCAACGUGGAGCAUUUUUCAAUUUGACAUCAAAUAUUGAAAAAUGAAAAAUGCUCCAAUAUGGAGCAUUUUAUAUUUUAUAUUUUGACAUUAUAAAUUGAAAAAAGAAAACUUAUUCCGAACAUGAGUAGUAUUUAUAUAUUAUAUAUAUGAUAACAUUGAGAAUAGAAAUAGGUAAUGCGCAAAAGAGACAGAGAAUAGACAGACAGCAAAUGUGCCAAACAGCCAAAGCAGCAACAAAAGAGACAGCAAUUCGACCAAAGUGCAGACAACAGCCAAAGGCCACCAAUGAAUCUUUAAUAAACCUCUAGUCAACAAACACACAUCAAUGCGCACAGUAAUGCUCAUUUCAAAAGAAGUCCGAGUUCGAUGUCAGAACAAGUAAUGUAGUAUAUGUAUUUGAUUUUAACGACAUCAAUCUCUGUAUUACUAAAAUAUAUUACACCAUGGUUUUCUGUAUCGCAAACUAGUCAUUACAUUCACUCAAUGGUAUCAACGGUACAAUGACACCAUUCGCUAGAAAAAAAUACAAAUCAACACACAGACAUGUUAUAUGUUCAGAUCUACACAUCAAAUCUUAUUCUGUAACGGUAAUAUUCUAUACAAAACACAAAUAUGUCGGCAUUCACCUCAAAACCUAACCAAACAGGCUUAUUCAAAAGGGAUACAGUUACGAUACUGUCCAUAAGAAUGGCAUAUUUUAGUAUGAAUAUUUAUUUACUCAAUGACAUAUGGUUUUUGCAUUGUAAAUAAACAAAUUUAUUAUAAAACAAGUUGUUGGCAUAAAACGGUUUAUGUUCUUUUCACAUAUUUUAUGAUGAUAUCAUACAAAAACCCCGAAUGAGAGAGAUUAUGCUAGAAAUUCAGUUGAUGAAGACAUUAUCUUUCAAUCAGAUUAAUUUAUGUCUGGAACGGGCAUUUCAGUAAUUGAUAGUAGUCCGUUGUUAAUGUAUGUAUGUAUCAUUGUCAUUUAGCUUAGUUUUGAAAUAUAUUAGGCCCGAAACCACAAUUAAUUCCUUUAUCAUUUCUUUAUAACGUUUUGUCGCAUUAAAAACAAAUCUAUUUUUUUUUGUUUUGUGUGUGUGUGUGUAAUGCACAGUACGUCAAAACAAAAAUAUCAAGUAUACAUCAUACACAUUUGGUAAAUACAUAUCCAUACCCCUUAGGCAAUUCAAGAGAUGUUCCGAAAAGUGUAAUUAUACCCUUUUUGUACCUGGCCUAAUCACUAUUUCCAUAUAAACAUCAGUUAAAAUGAAAAAUCCAAAAGUUUUAUUUAAGCUCUCUUCUAUCAUUUCCACCCCAGAAAAACUAAGAAAUCUGAGGAAGGGAAAGAAAAAAAUAAAGACAAAAUACACUAUUAUUAAAGGGAACUAUAUUCGUAGACAACGAAAAGCGGGAUCAUUAAUUGUGGUUUUGGGCCAAUAAGAUAUCUGACUCUGAGUUUUACUGUGCGUGAUUUCGUGUCUAUGUUUAUUCUUCAUUGUUUAGAGGUGUUAGAUGGUCUAACAAUACAUAUGUAUGUCCAAGUCAGGAGCCUCCGUCUUUUGUUAGUCUUGUUUAUGUGUUGUCAAUUGAAUUAAUUGUUUUCUAAAUAUUGGACUUGUGUGUAACUUCUAUUUUCAAUGCAUACGUACACAUGUUAAGGGGUCAGCUGCAUGAAGCCCGCCUUCGGUCGCAGAAAUUUCCCGCUGUGUUGAAGACCGAUUGGUGAUCUUGAGCUCUUUUUUGCCUUUUGAUCGGGUUGUUGCCUUUGUUACACGUUCCACAUUACCAUUCUUAAUGUUAUCAUACACAUUUAAGGAUAAUUGUCAUGUUCCAGACACGUGUAGGUAUUCAGUCGUGUGUUCUGCGGGUAAACUAAUUAAUAAAAAUUCACAUCUUUUUGGUCAUAAUUGUACCUUUUAGUAUAUUUCUCAUGUUCAAAAUUAGGUGAUACACACAUAGUGCACACGUAUACAUAAUUAACAAGUUCUUCAAGAUGUUUUAAAAUACUGUCGACAAUUUGAAUAUUUAAAACACAUAUAUUAAAACAAAUUUCAUUUCAUUCUAGAUCUACUCAUUAAAAAUUAAAAAAAUAUGCAGUUUUGAUCAUCCUUUUAAAUUUUUAUAUUGCGAAAUAAUUUCAAUUCAAAAUGAAACAUGCAUUUUUUCAUUUUUCAACAUUUUAAAGUCAAAUUACAAAAAUACUUAAUGUCAGCAAUUCCAAUUUUUCUUCUGAAAUGAACUUAUAUUAUUUUUCCUUUCUAAAACAAGCAUCUGCAAAUCAUUUGAUGUAUUCAAACUGUUGAAAUUUUAUCUUUUUUUAAUAUCCUCGUGAAAUCAAAAAAAAAAAAAUUCCAUAUAGAUAACAAAUUUUAAAUAUCAUUAAGAAAAUGAUUUUUCAAAAGUCACUUCAAAAGAGUUUUGCCUUAUGUUUAAAGUGUGAAGAGCAAUUUGCUAUAUUCAUUUUUUUCUGUUAAAAAUGCCAUUUUUUGGCGUAAAUAUACACGGUCUUCUGUUGUACAUUGAUUACCUAUAGUACUUCAUUUAUUUAUUAUUCAAUUAUUGACUAUUUUUUAUUAUUAAUUUCAGGAGAAUUUCUCAACUUGUGGAAUAAUCUUUAAACAGAAGAACAAAAACUUUCGGCGACUUUUACAAGGUUUGGACCUACUUAAAAAAAAAACUUCAAGCCGAACAAAACCCUGGAUUUUUUGUCAAGUAGAUAGCUACGAAGCUUCCCUUUUCAUCUAGUACG
rnacentral:lncRNA from 1 species